rnacentral:lncRNA from 1 species
CAAAGGUAGCAUGUGAACAUAUUGCUCUUCCUUUGAAGGCACGAGGACUUGGAGUGAGAGACUUGGUAGCUUGGAACUAUGCAUGCGUUACUCGUCAUAUUUUAGUUCAUUAUGCUUCAAGUUGGCUCUUUGUGAAUUGUGUGGGUGGAAGUGUGCAGGUUGAAGUGUGGUUAAUGUAUCGUACGUAGUUUAUUGUUUCUUAUAAGAUUAUAAGUAAAGUAUUGGAAGCAAUAAUUUUUUUUUUGGGUGAAUUUAAGCUAUAAUCUUUGGUUCUUCGUUAUCAUACAAAACACUACGUCAAAAUUAGCAAACAAUAACGAAAUUAUUUUUACUUUAUUAUAUUGGGAGAUGGAUGGAGGUAAUCAGAGAGAAAGUG